ACGCUGGCGGCAGGCCUAACACACGCAAGUCGAGCGGUAGAGAGAAGCUUGCUUCUCUUGAGAGCGGCGGACGGGUGAGUAAUGCCUAGGAAUCUGCCUGGUAGUGGGGGAUAACGUUCGGAAACGGACGCUAAUACCGCAUACGUCCUACGGGAGAAAGCAGGGGACCUUCGGGCCUUGCGCUAUCAGAUGAGCCUAGGUCGGAUUAGCUAGUUGGUGAGGUAAUGGCUCACCAAGGCGACGAUCCGUAACUGGUCUGAGAGGAUGAUCAGUCACACUGGAACUGAGACACGGUCCAGACUCCUACGGGAGGCAGCAGUGGGGAAUAUUGGACAAUGGGCGAAAGCCUGAUCCAGCCAUGCCGCGUGUGUGAUGAAGGUCUUCGGAUUGUAAAGCACUUUAAGUUGGGAGGAAGGGUUGUAGAUUAAUACUCUGCGAUUUUGACGUUACCGACAGAAUAAGCACCGGCUAACUCUGUGCCAGCAGCCGCGGUAAUACAGGGGGUGCAAGCGUUAAUCGGAAUUACUGGGCGUAAAGCGCGCGUAGGUGGUUUGUUAAGUUGGAUGUGAAAUCCCCGGGCUCAACCUGGGAACUGCAUUCAAAACUGACUGACUAGAGUAUGGUAGAGGGUGGUGGAAUUUCCUGUGUAGCGGUGAAAUGCGUAGAUAUAGGAAGGAACACCAGUGGCGAAGGCGACCACCUGGACUAAUACUGACACUGAGGUGCGAAAGCGUGGGGAGCAAAC
rnacentral:rRNA from 1 species